GAGUCGUUAGCUCAGUUGGUAGAGCAUCUGACUUUUAAUCAGAGGGUCGGCAGUUCGAGACUGCCACGACUCA
rnacentral:tRNA from 1 species